CCUACGGGAGGCAGCAGUGAGGAAUAUUGGUCAAUGGGCGGAAGCCUGAACCAGCCAAGCAGCGUGCAGGAUGAAGGCCCUACGGGUUGUAAACCGCUUUUAUACGGGAAUAACGCGCCUUACGUGUACGCCUUUGCAUGUACCGUAUGAAUAAGGACCGGCUAAUUCCGUGCCAGCAGCCGCGGUAAUACGGAAGGUCCGGGCGUUAUCCGGAUUUAUUGGGUUUAAAGGGAGCGUAGGCCGCAUGUCAAGCGUGCUGUGAAAUGUCCGGGCUCAACCCGGGCCUUGCAGCGCGAACUGGCGGGCUUGAGUCGGCGGAAAGCAGGCGGAAUUCGUCGUGUAGCGGUGAAAUGCUUAGAUAUGACGAAGAACCCCGAUUGCGAAGGCAGCAUGCUGCAGCGGAACUGACGCUGAUGCUCGAAAGCGCGGGUAUCGAACAGGAUUAGAUACCCCAGUAGUC
rnacentral:rRNA from 1 species